GCCUGGCUGGCUCAGUUGGUAGAGCUUGUGACUCCUGAUCUCAGGGUUUUGAGUUCAAGCCCCGUGUUGGGCA
rfam:Ailuropoda melanoleuca scaffold8_49, whole genome shotgun sequence.